CGAGCCAUUAGCUCAGUUGGUAGAGCAUCUGACUUUUAAUCAGAGGGUCGAAGGUUCGAG
rnacentral:tRNA from 1 species